CAGCUUUUUAAACCUUGGAACUUCUUCUGUGUCAGUUCAGAGACAUACAAUUUACUAAAACACAUCAUGAAGGCCUGUUUUGAAGAGAAGGGGAGUAAGACUACAUCUAUUCAUAUGAGACAGGUAAAAUGGAAAGCAGUUAUACAAAUGCUAUACUAACUCCUCACAAAGACUACCCAAAGAUAAUAUUAUUAUCAUCUGCGUUUUUUGGUGAUCAUACUGAGGCAGAGAGCAGUUGUAAAAUGGAGUCUCAGAAUCGUCCCUAUAUGAAGCAGAAAAACUGGUUUCCUCUCUUGGCAGUCUGACUCCAAGAUCUCUUAGAAACAAUUAUACUGUAAAACCUGAAAAAGAAGUAAAAAACAAGAUUGGAGACUAAUACUAACAUCUAUUCUUCUUAAUAGAGUAAUCAAAAAUAAACAGAGAAAAAUAAAAGUGAAUAUUCAUACCAAGGGAA
rnacentral:sRNA from 1 species